GCUUUUUAAAAUGUGCUAUUGUUUAAAUUAGCAUUUAUUUUUUCAUGAUAAAAGAUAAAGAAAGAAAACCUUAUUUUGAAGGCUAUAUCACCAAAGAUCUGUUGUAAUGCUGUGGUGAGCUUUAUGCAGCUUCAUAGACUGUAAAAGGCAGCACCUCAGUUACAUGCUGUAAGCUUCUGUCUCUGUUCCUGUAAAUCAGCAGCCUGAGAAGAUAUAUAACAUGUGAACUCAUGUAGGCUACCCUUUGCAAAAAGAAAUAAAGGAAUCAUGUAAAGCACCAUUCACCAUGUGGAAAAUAAAAUGAUGUAAACGUGGCACAAAUCAUGAGAUCCAGUGUGGACGAUUCAGACCGCUUGCCUGCUGAAACAUGUCAGUAUGACUCCAUUAGCUCCCACCCACACACAUAGGAGGUGUGACUGUCAUGAAUAAUUACUGUACAUUGGCAGAAGUUUAUGAAUCAUGACAGCAGGACAUUCCCACUUACUUAGGAAACGUGCACUUUGCCGUGGACAUUUUGACUUGGUGCACGUACUGCAUAGUGGUGCAAAGCCUAAUGAUCAUGUCUAUGAACCAUUUUUGUGGCUCAAAUCUGAUACAGAAGCACAGUUUUAAUAUAAUUGCAGUAUGAACAAACACAGAUUGUAUUAUCUCGACUGUUUUCUUUCUUUCUUUCCUUCUGGAUAGGAAGAGAAAUGGAGUAGGAGUUAUCUUGAAGAGUUUGUUUGGAAUGUUGUGGAGGUAGAAAGAGUGUCAGGGUGAUGUUCAGUGUUGUUAGUGGUUAUGCUCCACAGGUAGCAUGUGAGCUAGAAGAAAAGGAGAUAUUCUGGAGAUAGUUUGAGGAUGUGAUGUAGAAUACCCCCAGAAUACCCCAGAAGAAAGUGAUGAUUGGUGCAGACUUCAAUGGGCAUGUUGGUGCAGGCAACAGGAGUGACAAGGAAGUGAUGGUUUGGUAUUCAGGAUAGGAACGCAGAAGAACAAAUGGCAGUAGACUUUUCAAUAAGGAUGAAAAUUGGCUGUAAUGAAUACUUUCUUCUAGAAGAGGCAGGGGCAUAGGGUGACCUAUAAGAGUGGAGGUAAGCAAGGCAAGCUUAUUUUAUGUAUAGUACGGGAGCCCAGAUGGACUAGCAUGCACAUUAUAACCAAUAAUAUUAGCAAAUCCAAUUGUAUUAUAUAUAGAAGAUAUAUAGAAUGUCUUCUAUAUUGCGUAUCUGCACUAUAGUGUCAUGUAUUGCUGUGUUUGGUUGCUUACAAGUAUUGACUUACUGUAUUGUCUUUGGAUUCAUUUUGGAUCACCUUUCAUUUGUUUGUUGUUCUUGUUGCUUUAGGCCAGGUCUUGGCUUUUCAAUAAAGGAGGAGGGUCUAUCAUGGAGGAAACCAGCAGAUUUCACAAAUUUUCCAAUUUUACCCCAGAUGCCAUUAGAGUUGCGUAGGCUCUUCUGCUGAGUACACCUGUAGCAUGGAUCAUCCAGAAGACGACAGUGGCUUCUGCAAAAAGGAAAAAGAACAAACCACAAGAAAAGGCCAGCCCUUCCUCUGUGAUUCACUUUGAUGGAAUCGCUCAUGGACCUUUCAAAUUAUUUCAUGAGGACAAAAAUGCAUCAGCCAAAACUGAAAAAUUUAAUGACAUCAAGCAACGCCAUGAAGCAGAGCUAAUAACAUCGAGCCAUCGUGAGCAAGAACAAUGUAGCCUACUUUCUGAGCAGAUCAGCGACAAUUCAUGUUCACCACUGGAAUGGUUACAAACGAUUUACAGGAAACCUGAACCGUCUAAAACUAAAAUCUGAAGCCUCUCAAGAAUUCACAUCUGAGCAAAGAACAUAUGGCAGAUUGUCCAGUGAGAUAGACCAUGGGGUGCAUGGUAGGCCAUCUGGGCUCCUGGACUAAUAGCACAAUUUAUCUACAAGGCAAUUCAAAGUGCUUUACAAUAGCAAAGAAAAUAAAUAACAAAAAAUAUUUAAAAGGUAGACAUUAAAACCAUGUAUUUAAAUCCUAGAAAUAAAACAUAAUUUAAGCAAAAAAAAAAAUCAGUUUUUCAAGAUCCUGCUGAGAAAUAAGUCCUUUAACCCUGGAAAUAUUCUUCAGGUGAUAGUAAGCUGAUUUUGAAGUAGUCCUAAUGUGGUUUUGAAAGGUCAGGUCUAAGUCCACGACUACAUCCAGAUUUCUGACCUGAUCUGUGUGUUUUUUUUUAUUGCAAUAGCUGAAGCUGUUUGCUGGCAUUUACUCACUCCUCUCUUUGUCCAAAAACAACUACCUCAGUUUUGUGCAUGUUUUACUGAAGAAAAUGUAGACACAUCAAUUCACUGAUUUGCUCUAUACGUUUACUCAGGGCCUGUAUGGGACCAUGGUCUCCUGGUGACAUUGAGAUAUACAGCUGUGUGUCGUCAGCAUAAUUAUGGUAAUUUAUUUUUUGUUUCUUAUUAUCUGAGUCAGUUGAAGCAUGUACAUGUUAAACAAAAGAGGUCCCAGGAUGGAGCUUUGGGGAAUUCCACAUAUAAUUUUCUUCUGCUCAGAUUUAGAGUUGCCUACUGACACAAAAUCAUCCCUGUCCUUCAGGUAAGAAACAAACCAAUACAGUACUGUGCCAGAAAGUCCCACCAAGCUCUCCAGUCGGUCAAGUAACAUGCUGUGUAUGACAAUGUCAAACACAGCACUGAGAUCCAACAUUAUAAGGACGGAGAUUCUGCCACGGUCUGUGUUUAAGCAGAUGUCAUUAAACACUUUGACCAAAGCAGUCUCAGUGCUGUGGUGGGCUUUGAAGCCCGACUGGAAAACAUCGUAGCAGCUGGUCAUUGUUAAAAAGCUAUUUAACUGUUCAAAGACAGCCUUUCAAUUACUUUACUAAAAAUAGCAAAUUUGAUAUGGGUCUAUAAUUUUGCAUCAAAGAUUUGCCCAAAUUAUUCUUUUUCAGCAGAGGUUUGAUGACUGCUGUUUUAAGGCCUGAGGGAACCUGCCUGAUAAAAGAGAGGAGUUCACAAUUUGGAUUAGAUCUGAUGCCAUUACCCAUGAAACUGUUUUGAAAAAGGCUGUCGGUAAAAUAUCCAGACAAGGGGAGGAGGAAAUCAGCAUAGUAUGAUAUCCUCCAGGUUUUUGUGACUAAUUGGGUGGAGUUAUGCCAUGUUGUCUGAGUCUCUUUUAAAAUGGACACAACAUGAAUUUUAUAUUUGAGGUGGAUAUAUUGACUGAUUUUCUUUUUUUUUCUGGAAAGAAUGUGGUAAAUUCAUUGCAGGCUGUGGCGGACUGAAGUUCAGGUGUUAAAGUUACUGGAAGGUUUGUUAACAUGUCAACUACAGCAAAUAAAGCAUGUGUAUUACUUU